rnacentral:rRNA from 1 species
UACGUAGGGAGCAAGCGUUGUCCGGAUUUACUGGGUGUAAAGGGUGCGUAGGCGGCUUUGCAAGUCAGAUGUGAAAUCUAUGGGCUCAACCUAUAAACUGCAUUUGAAACUGUAGAGCUUGAGUGAAGUAGAGGCAGGCGGAAUUCCCCGUGUAGCGGUGAAAUGCGUAGAGAUGGGGAGGAACACCAGUGGCGAAGGCGGCCUGCUGGGCUUUAACUGACGCUGAGGCACGAAAGCGUGGGUAGCAAACAGG